rnacentral:rRNA from 1 species
UGGGGAAUAUUGCACAAUGGGCGCAAGCCUGAUGCAGCCAUGCCGCGUGUAUGAAGAAGGCCUUCGGGUUGUAAAGUACUUUCAGCGGGGAGGAAGGGAGUAAAGUUAAUACCUUUGCUCAUUGACGUUACCCGCAGAAGAAGCACCGGCUAACUCCGUGCCAGCAGCCGCGGUAAUACGGAGGGUGCAAGCGUUAAUCGGAAUUACUGGGCGUAAAGCGCACGCAGGCGGUUUGUUAAGUCAGAUGUGAAAUCCCCGGGCUCAACCUGGGAACUGCAUCUGAUACUGGCAAGCUUGAGUCUCGUAGAGGGGGGUAGAAUUCCAGGUGUAGCGGUGAAAUGCGUAGAGAUCUGGAGCAAUACCGGUGGCGAAGGCGGCCCCCUGGACGAAGACUGACGCUCAGGUGCGAAAGCGUGGGGAGCAAACAGG